rnacentral:rRNA from 1 species
GCCGGUGGUCAUAGCGGUGGGGAAACACCCGUUCCCAUUCCGAACACGGAAGUUAAGCCCUCCAGCGCCGAUGGUACUUGGGUGGAUUCGCCCCGGGAGAGUAGGUCGCCGCCGGUU